AAAAUUAUAUUUUCUUUCUUUCCUUCUUUUUUUUUUUUUUUGUUUUUUUUUAUACAUUUUGUGUAAUUAAUAAAAUACAGGAAGGAAGGUCUGAGAUGCUGCAAAAAAAGAAUUAAUUAUAUUUCUUAAAAAUAAAUCAAAACUAUUUUUAAUAGUCUUGUAUUUAUUUUUUUAUACUUAUUUCUUUAUUAAUAUUUUUGAGAAAAAUAAUAUUGAACAAAUAUUAAUUAGCUACCAGAAAUAUCAAUCAUAUAUUUAUAGUAGUUUUUUUAAUUAUAAAAAAAUUAUUUAUAUAUAUUUGAUUUUGAAAAAGCUAAUAAGCAAGUAUACAUUGGUGAGUUCGAUUUUUGAGGUUUUUCAGCUACUUUGAUUUUUUUUCAAGUAGUAGAAAAAUAACUUAAUUCAGACUACUCCUAAAUUCAUUCCAAAUUGUUAACAGAAUGUGAAUAUAAAAAAGAGGAGAGGGGACACCUUGAAAAGAUAUGAAAAUACAAAG